AGUCCAUGAUGUGGACAAAGUCUCAUCAUGUCCUUGUACCUUUCCCAUGCUCUUAAAAGUGAUUCUCCAUCUUUCUGUUUAAAUCCAUUGAUUUGGCUUCUUAGCGU